rnacentral:rRNA from 1 species
UACGUAGGUGGCAAGCGUUGUCCGGAUUUACUGGGCGUAAAGAGCGCGCAGGCGGUCGUUCAAGUCGCGUGUGAAAGCCCCCGGCUCAACUGGGGAGGGUCACGCGAUACUGAUCGACUCGAAGGCAGGAGAGGGAAGUGGAAUUCCCGGUGUAGUGGUGAAAUGCGUAGAUAUCUGGAGGAACACCGGUGGCGAAGGCGGCAUCCUGGACCGAGAUUGACGCUGAUGCGCGAAAGCCAGGGGAGCAAACGGG